UACGUAGGGUGCAAGCGUUAAUCGGAAUUACUGGGCGUAAAGCGUGCGCAGGCGGUUUUGUAAGUCUGACGUGAAAUCCCCGGGCUCAACCUGGGAAUUGCGUUGGAGACUGCAAGGCUGGAGUCUGGCAGAGGGGGGUAGAAUUCCACGUGUAGCAGUGAAAUGCGUAGAGAUGUGGAGGAACACCGAUGGCGAAGGCAGCCCCCUGGGUCAAGACUGACGCUGAGGAGCGAAAGCAUGGGGAGCGAACAGG
rnacentral:rRNA from 1 species